rnacentral:lncRNA from 1 species
AUAAGACAAUAAACUAUGUAUUAUCAAUUAAUUAAUUUGUAAUAUAGACAAUAUUUUCAGCUCAGUUGAUUGUAUUUAUUUAGAAGUCUUAAGUAAUUAUCUAAUCCUGUGUUUUCUACUUUUAUUGUAUAAAACAUAUCAAGUAAUAUAAGUGUACAUCCCACUACGAAAAGGAGAUUUUUGUUGAAAAUUUGUGUUGUCCAUAAUCAAGAACAAUACACGAUUAUGAUCGUGAAGACGUUUGAUUGGAAACAGGAUCAGGAAUAUGAUUUAGUUGUCCACCGUAUCGUACUUCACAACGAGACAUGGUAAUACUCUAUGUCCACCCGUCAGUCUGUAACAUACAAACCCGCGACCAUUUGCCAACUAGCUCUCAUAAUUGGUAGGAUUAUUUGUCUUCAUGUAAUCACGACUAUACUCAAUAGUUAUUCUGAAUUGAUAACUGUUGCGGUGGUUGUUUACUAAGAACUUAACAUCAUGUUUACUGUUAUUACGCUUUGUAAACACAAAUGAGACCGUUAACUCGAAAACUUUAACACAUAUAGGAUUAUUUCUUAUCAUAUAGCUCAUAGAGUUUGCCUAUCAUCGGUCUGUUGCAGCAAAACUCACAUCAUGUGACCACUAUAAGGAUGUAAAAUGUGGAGCUGAAGUAAAGCAGUCUAUAAUUGAGACACUUUCAUUCCCAAGAUAAAGAGCGACAGGGAACAUCUUUAUUCAGCAUGUUUAUCUUAUAUAGACUUUAAAAACUAUGAAAAAAAACGUAAUAUUUAACAUAAGAAUUAUCUUUCAUAUUUACAAAACAUCCUUUGCCGGACAAUACAGUUACAUAAAGUUGAAUUUCACAAAGAAACUACUGUUCACUCCUUCAGACAAAUUUGACUCUAGGUGGAAUUAGCUAUUCUUCCAAUCAAAUAGCUCCUAAAGUGUUAAAGUUUUGAUAUAUGUUUGGCUUUCAAAUGUUUUUGAAAGGGGAUCUAGCGUUCCAAAUGAUUAAACUCUAGGUAAGAGCUUCGAAUGCAACCAUUUUCAUCACGCUGACUAUCUAAUUGCGGAUCAUUUGAUAAAACAAAGGCGGAUUUAGUCAGCAACAAAACAAAUGAUUUCAAUGUUUAUUGCCCUGACUAGCUUGAUGUUUGUUGCUUUCAUUAUUUUUUGACGGAUUUAAGUAACUAGUAGAGGUAGAUCUGAAAAAAGGGCUUUCGACGCACA